AGAUGAAACCAAACUGAAAGCAGCCCUCCCUCCCCCAGUCCCACCCACGUGAAACGCAAGGAGAAAUUUUGAAAACUGUACUCAGUUUUUCAUAUAUUAACAGUACAUUGGACCCACGACUGUCAAGUUCCAAAAAAGGAGAAAUGGGCCCUGCUUCUGCUGGUCC